UGCAAUGAGAGUUGUGCUAAGGUAGCGUGGUAAUUUGUCUUUUAAUUAGAGAAUGGUAUGAAAGGUUUUAUGUGGAAAAACUGUCUUUAUAAGACUUUAUGAAUUUUUCUUUUAGGUGAAAAGACCUAUGUAUUUGUAAAAGACGAGAAGACCCUGUCGAGCUUGAUUAGAAUUUCUAAGAUGUUAUAAUUUAAAAUUUUAUUGGGGCAAUAUAAAUCAAAAUAACGGUUUAUUUUUAUAAGAAUCCCCUUAGAGGGAGUAAAGCAAAAGCUACCGCAGGGAUAACAGCGUUAUCCUUUUUAAGAGAUCUUAUUGAGAAAAGGGUUUGCGACCUCGAUGUUGGAUUAUA
rnacentral:rRNA from 1 species